UUGUUUUUGGCCACACAUAGAUUAAGAUUGAAACAGUACAGAGAAGCUUAGCAUGGCCCCUGCACAAGUAUGACGAAAAAAUGAGUUGGGCAUGAUCAUUUGUA